rnacentral:rRNA from 1 species
AAUCGCAGAUCAGAAUGCUGCGGUGAAUACGUUCCCGGGUCUUGUACACACCGCCCGUCACACCAUGGGAGUCGGAAAUGCCCGAAGCCGGUGACCAAACCAAUAAGGAAGGAGCCGUCGAAGGCAGGUCUGAUAACUGGGGUGAAGUCGUAACAAGGUAGC